AUCUUAUUAGGUUAAUUAGACCAAUUGUUUUCAAAACAAUAAGUGCGUUACAUGCAUUAGAUG
rnacentral:tRNA from 1 species